GAGAUACACAGAGAGAGGCAGAGACACAGGCAGAGGAAGAAACAGCCUCUUUGCAGGGAGCCUGACGUGGGACUCGAUCCUGGGACCCCAAGGUCAUGCCCUGGGCUGAAGGCAGGUGCUAAACUGCUGAGUCACCCAGGGGCCCCCCUCAUCAUGUCAUUUAAUGCAGGCAGGACUUCUUUUUAUUGCACUAAGUCUUUCCCCACUUCCAGCUAUUCUGUCUCCUGACUCCCAAUUUGCGAGAUAAAAAAAAAAAAUUGAAACUAAGGGGUUUAAAUGAUCUGUUAAACAAACAUGUUAUUCUGGAUCCUCCGAAAAGCAGAAGUCAAGCUGGGAUUAAAUAUACAAAGGUCUUAUUAGGGGAAAAUGACUGUGUGAGUGAGAUGGGGAGGGAGCCAGAAAAAAAAGACGGGAGAGCCAUCUGUCCAGAAAGCAAAUCUGAUUGAGUGAAAAGGGGAGCAAGAGAAAGUUGGGUGGAAGCGUCCUAGACUCCUGUGCCAUCCAAGGAAGAUUCAGCAAGGCCACCAGGGAGUCCUUGAGGCAACCAGAGUCAGCUGUUGGCUGAGUCCCACAUCCUCUAGGAAUGGUCUUGCCUUCGUACCCUAGCCAUACUCAGCCAUUGGCUGGAGGGCUCAUAGGAGGUAUGGCCGGAAUGCAAAGGAGACUAGAGAUUUCAGGGUGCAGCAUUCAGACCCUUGAACAAUUACUCUCCUUGUAUUAGGAAGGCUGGAAGGUGCAUUUUCAUGGCUACCACAUGAAACUUCACACUACAUUGGUGCCAAAGCCAGAUCCAUCCUUGACUCAUACCUGUAAGAAAUUCAAUUAGCCCAGCAUCCUCUUUGAAUGUGAAGGAAGUUGUUCUUCAGCCAUUGUUUUCUCAAAAAGCAGGACGGCUUUCUACUGGAAAUGCCAAUUUUGCGUGGCCCUGGACACACAGGCUCUGUCUGCUAAAGAUGCCUUUGUCCUGUCUGAGGAAGAGAAAAGUUUCCAUGGAAUGCUUCUGUUGCUGCUCAACUUAAUUCUGGGCUUUGGAGCCCUGGAGUGGUGACUCAUUUAGUCAUAGGGACAGAACUCCUUCCAUAUGUUAAGGGUAAUUUAGGGGAAAUUGUUUGAAAAUUCAGUAUCUUUUGGCUGUAAUGGUACAUGAAAUACAUUUUAAAGAAGAAAAAAAGGAAAGAUGGAAACGGGGGUGAGGAAGGAGGAAAGCAACUUACGGAGUAAGGGUCACCUACAUUACAAUAUUGACCCGUUACUCUGAGAAGAGGGUAGGUAAAGACAGGUUGGGUGAGCUUACUAUUUUUAAAAAGUAAGGCUCUGUGCUCAACAUGGGGCUCAAACUCACAACCCAGAGAUCAAAAGUCACAUGCUCCAUUGACUGAGCCAGCCGGGUGCCCCUUAGGAUUCCUAUUUUAUAAAAUGUGGAAAUGGAGAUAAAAAAAGUUAAACCACUUGCCCAAAUUCCCACUGCUCAUGAAGGCAGAAAUGAACUCCAGCCCAUGUCUUUUGCCCUCCUCCAGUAAGACUGGGUCUACACAAUACCAAUAAAGAAAAAACAAAUGAACAAAGGGAAUGUUCUCUCUGAUGGAUUGAGAACUGUUGACUUUAAGCCUUGAAUCCAGGAUCAUGAAUUCCUGCUUCUUUUAGUGUUCAGGCACUUCCCCAACGACUGUUAGUAUCUUUCUGGAUGGGCAGAGGGGAACAGGACAGUAAGACAUAACAUUAAAUUGGGAUGGUCAUACAGUCUUACUUCUAAGAAAGCACCUUUACAUUUUACAUGUUGGGUGGAAUUGCAGAAAAAUAUAAUAAAUGAGUGUACAGGUUCCUGAGUCAGAUUACGGCUCUAUCACUUUUGUGUGACUGUGGAUAAGCAACUCGGUUCCUCUUUGCUGCAGUUCCUUCUAAGGUAACGUAGGAUGAAGUCAUAAUAUUAUUACCUCACAGGGUUAUUCUGAGGAUUAAAUGAGAUAACACAUUUAGAAAACACUAAGUAAAUGUAGGCCCUAAUGAAUAUAUAACCAGAAACCCUAUCAUUCUGAAAAAACAUGCCGGGCUCCAGCUCCAGCUGGGGUGGGUCUCUCGAAGGAAAGGCCGGCGUCGGCAAAUGAGGGGACGCACAGAGUCAGGGUGCAGACACGUCCUGAUCAUUUCGGAGGGGCUUUAUUUAUACCAUUUUACAUUGCCUUGCUUUUCCAGUUUCUUUUUUAGUAAAUAAUUACAUUUUACAUUUUAUCGCAAACAUCUUAGAUCAUUCUAAAGAUUAAGAAACAUCUUUUUCAUACGAAAUAUUUUUCCUUUCAGUUUCGACUGCUAUAAUGAACAUGACCUUUAUUGAUUUCUUGAGAAAGCAGUGAGUGUGAUGUAAAAGACAAAAGUGCUAGACAGAGCGUGGCCUAUUCUAGUGGAAAAACAAGUCUAUGGUAAUAUGGUUACAUGAAAGGGGUUAUUAUUUUAAAGGUUAUAUACAGAAAUGUUUAACUUUCUUCUAGCAGUUUACAGUACCCACAACUUAUUUUAUCAUGUGUUCCACUGGUUAACUGUUGUCUCUUUAACUUGACGCUUAAGAGGUACCUGAAGGACUUCUUCCAUGACAGCUUUAACUGGGCUAGGUUCCCAGAUUUAUUUUACCCUUAACUGAUAAAAAAACUCAGCAUUUCUCAUAUUAGAGGAAUUACAGAGUGGGGGGUGGGGGGCAUUGGGUUUUAUUCCAAGAAGCAUGUUGGAAAUUUUAAUUAUUUUUAGACUCCAUAUUUAUUUUAUGGAAAUUCCCCAAUAGUAUUAUAAUGAUGCUAAAGAUGGCCAAAAACAAAGUGAAAGGAAUCCAUGGGAGCCAGCUGUGGCUUCUCCUGAUUUUCAGGAUUAACUCCCAUGCCUGGACUUUGUCAAACAGCAUGAGUAGCCUGGCUCCCACCAAAAGCAACCUUGUUGUUCAAGAGUAACAACAGUGGGUAUUUCCUAAAUUUUCCAGUACUUACUAUACACUUUAGUAAAAUCGUUCCUAUUUGACUAUACUAAUUUAUGUUUGAACUUUUGUUAAACUCCUUGUCCUGUGGCAAAUGAAAAUUACCUCCUGGAUUUUCUUUUUUUAAAGAUUUUAUUUAUUUAUUCAUGAGAGACACACAGAGAGGCAGAGACAUAGGCAGAGGGAGAAGCAGGCUCCACACAGGAAGCCCGACGUGGGACUCGAUCCCGGGUCUCCAGGAUCUGGCCCUGGGCUGAAAGCAGCACUAAACUGCUGAGCCACCUGGGCUGCCCCCCUCCUGGAUUUUCAUGGCAUUUCUUGCGAGUAUUUUUCCAUAUGGUCAUGUUACUGACAUACCUUUUGCUCUGUAGUGAGGCCGAUGUCAACUGCCAACAGAACAGGCUUUGUCAUGUACUCCAAAUCCUAUAUUCUAAUAUGCAAACAAAAUGAUUCAUACCUAUAAUACAUAAUCCACUCAACUCAAAAUGAAAUACUAGCAUAGUCAUACUAUUCAUUUUGGUUAAAUCUUUUACAUUUUUCAUUUAACUCAAGUAAUCAAAUUCAUUACAAUCUCCAAUGAGAUAGUCACUGGCCUACUAUAGUAGAUGCCAAGGAUGCAGCCAUCCUUGCCUACUUGGC
rnacentral:lncRNA from 1 species